GCAUCCAUAGCUCAGCUGGUAGAGCACCUGACUCUUAAUCAGGGUGUCCAGGGUUCGAGCCCCUGUGGGUGUACCA
rnacentral:tRNA from 4 species